rnacentral:rRNA from 1 species
GUUCGGAUCGCAGGCUGCAACCCGCCUGCGUGAAGUUGGAAUCGCUAGUAAUCGCGGAUCAGCAUGCCGCGGUGAAUACGUUCCCGGGCCUUGUACACACCGCCCGUCACACCAUGAGAGUCGGGAACACCCGAAGUCCGUAGCCUAACUUUAACGAGGGGGCGCGGCCGAAGGUGGGUUCGAUAAUUGGGGUGAAGUCGUAACAAGGUACC